GUGGUACACAGGUUGCACUGGAUUUUUUUUUAAUGGCACAUUUUUAAAACUACUGCUCAUUUUAUGCUUGAUAUAGAUUUGGCGUUUACCUUUUCCUAACAUAUAGGCAAGCAGUAGUUAUUGCUUUGUUGGUAAAAGUUGGCGUUAUUUCUGAAAAGCAUACGUGGGAAUGGCAAACUGUAGAAGCUGUGGCCACCGGACUCCAGGAUUUUAUUAUCUGUAUUGAGAUGUUCCUCGCUGCCAUUGCUCAUCAUUACACAUUCUCAUAUAAACCAUAUGUCCAAGAAGCAGAAGAGGGCUCAUGCUUUGAUUCCUUUCUUGCCAUGUGGGAUGUCUCAGAUAUUAGAGAUGAUAUUUCUGAACAAGUAAGGCAUGUUGGACGGACAGUCAGGGGACAUCCCAGGAAAAAACUGUUUCCCGAGGAUCAAGAUCAAAAUGAACAUACAAGUUUAUUAUCAUCAUCAUCACAAGAUGCAAUUUCCAUUGCUUCUUCUAUGCCACCUUCACCCAUGGGUCACUACCAAGGGUUUGGACACACUGUGACUCCCCAGACUACACCUACCACAGCUAAGAUAUCUGAUGAAAUCCUUAGUGAUACUAUAGGAGAGAAAAAAGAACCUUCAGAUAAAUCCGUUGAUUCCUGAACAGUAUGGAAAAGCAAACUGUGCAACUACUACAUUAUAUCAUUACCUGGUAUCCCAUGGAUUUUGUGCUUGGGACAGACCAUAAAUGAUGGAAAAUGUCAACACAAAAAUAGCUGAAAGCCAGGUACAACUACUGCAUUUAUAUAUGUAAGUUUUGUAUAUCAAAAAUAAUUGGUCUAAAUUUCCUAGACUUAGACUUGAUUUCUUAACAUUAGGGUAUCACAUACUCAAAUGGUAGACAAUGACCCCAACUAAAUCUUCCUGAUGUUACACUGCUUUAUCAAGAGGAUGGACUUUUUUUUUUUUUUGAGACAGACAGAGUCUUGCUCUGUCACCCAGGCUGGAGUGCAGUGGCGCAAUCUCGGGUCACUGCAAGCUCUGCCUCCCAAGUAGCUGGGACUACAGGCACCUGCCACCAUGCCCAGCUAAUUUUUUUUUUUAGUAGAGACAGGGUCUCACCAUGUUAGCCAGGAUGGUCUUGAUCUGACCUCGUGAUCCGCCCACCUCGGCCUCCCAAAGUGCUGGAAUUACAGGCGUGAGCCACUGCGCCUGGCCAAGAAUGGACAUUUUUUAAAAAAACAUCAGUACUUCCUACCACUGCUGCAUGAGUAUAAUGCUCCGGAAUUAUCAGAAAGCAUAAUGCAGAAAUACGAAUUAGUGGAACUUAAUCAUGUGCCAUAUAAGCUUACCUAACAAACAAACAAACAGUUAUAUCCCUAUUCCUCAACUGAAUGUCUUUCAAUAAAUAAGAAUUUAUCAUUUAUUUUCUGCAACUUUUUUAUGUCUCAUUCUUUAAACAUUAAAAACCCUUAAUAUUUUAACAAAAAUUUCUUGAUUAGAGGCACAGUGAAAAGUCAAAAAAAAAAGUACUACUUUUCAUCAGUGCUAUUAAAGGUGGCAGCAAAUGUAAAUCUUGGCUGAAUGGUCUUAAUUACUCAUUAAACCACAGUCAGAAAGACAUAUAGGUGCUAUUUGGGAAAACUUUUUAUUACCUAGGAUGGGGUUUCUCUAAUUGCUAAUCACAACCCCACUGGGUCAUGUUUGACAUUUUAUAAUGAAAAUAAUAAAACAGAAAGUGCCAUAGUAUGUUACAGAAAGCAAAGAUGAGUAUUGUUUCUCAAAGCCUUUGCUUUAUGUAUUUAUACACAUACUCAUUCAUAUCUAUCUAUAUAUAGAGAGAGAUAUAGUGGUUCACAGUAAUCAUACAAAGUCUUUAUUCCGUCCACUAUUAUAAACAUUUCUAUUAAAACUAAAACUGGGCUCUAUGUAAAAACCCCAAAGAUACACACACCAAAAAAAUCUGUUAGAACUCAAGUGAAUUCAGUAAAGUUGCAGAAUACAAAAUCAACAUACAAAAAGCAUUAGCAUUUUUAUACAUAAAUAAUGACCUAACUGAAAAAUUAAGAUGCCAUUUAUGAUAGCAUAAAAAAAAUACUUAGGAAUAAAUUUAACACCAAGGCAGUAAAAGAUCUGUAUGUACACUGAAAACUAUGAAACACUGAUGAAAGAAAAGAAAGACACAAAUAAAUGGAAAGAUAUCCCGUGCUCACGGAUCAGAAUAAUACUGUUAAAAUGGUCACACUACCCAAAGCAAUUCAGAAUCAAUGCAAUCCUAUCAAAAUUCCAAUGGCAUUAUUUACACAAAUAGAAAAAAAUCCUAAAAUUCAUAUGUAACGAUAAAAGACCCUGAAUAGGCAAAAGAAUACUGAGGAAAAAAUGUUGGAGACAUCACAUUUCCUAAUUAUAAAUUAUAUUACAAAACUAUAGUAAUCAAGACAUUAUGGUACUGGCAUAAAAACACAUACACAGGCCAGUGGGACAGAAGAAAGAGUCCAGAAAUAAAUCCAAACAUAUACAGUCAACUAAUUUUUGACAAAGACACCAAGAAGACACAUCGGGGAAAGAACAGUCUUCAUUAAGUGUUCUUAAUGAAGAUGCUGGGAAAACUGCACUUCCACAUGCAAAACAAUGAAAUCAGACCCUUAUCUUAGACCUACACAACAAUCAAUUCAAAAUGAAUAAAAGACCUAAAUGUAACACCAGAAACUAUAGAAGAGAACAUAGGAGAAAAGUUCCCGGACACUGACCCUUGGCAAUGAUUUUCUGGAUAUCACACCAAAAGCUCAGUCAACAAAAACAAAAACAAAUGUGACUACAUCAAACCAAAAAGCUUCUGACAGUAAAAGAAACAGUCAACAAAAUGAAACAAUAGCCUACAGAUUGAGUAAAAAAUAUAUGUAAGGCAUAUAUCUGAAAAAGGGUUAGUAUCCAAAAUUUAUAAAGAAUUCAUACAACUCAAUUUUAAAAAUGGGCAAAAGACCUGAAAAGACAUUUCUCCGAAGACGACACACAGAUGGCCAACAGGUAUAUAAAAGGGUGCUCAACUAAUUAAUCAUCAAGGAAAUGCAUAUAAAAACCACUCGAAGUACUACCUCUCACCAGUUAGGCUAGCUGUUAUCAAAAAAAAACAAAAGACAACAAAUGUUGUGAUGGUGUGGAAUAAAAGGAACUCUGUGCACUGUUGGUGGGAAUGUAGAUUGGUACAGCCAUUAUGGAAAACAGAAUGAAAGUUUCUAAAGAAAAAUAAAACUACCAUACGAUCCAGCAAUCCCUCUUCUGGGCAUAUACUCAAAGCAAAUGAAAUCACCACCUUGUAAAUAUAUCUGCAGUCCGUGUUCAUUGCAGCAUUAUUCAUAGUAGCCAACAUGGAGACAACUGAAGUGUUCAUUGACAGAUGAAUAAAGAAACUGUGUAUAUAUAUGCCUACACACAAUGGAAUAUUAUUCAUCCCUAAAAAAAAAAACCAACGAUAUCUUGCCAUUUGCUACAACAUGGAUGGGCCUGAAGGACACUGUGCUAAAUGAAAUAAGCCAGACAGAAAAAAAGAUACUGCAUAAUUUCACAUAUAUGUGGAAUCAAAAAAAAAAAUUUAAAUAUAUAAAGAGCAAAACUGGUUAUGGGGGGGUAGGGAGAAAUGGGGAAUGUAGGUCAAAGGAUUCAAGGUAGCAGAUAUGUAGGAUGAAUAAGUCUAGAGAUCUAAUGUACAACAUGAGGAUUUUAGGUAACAAAUUUGUACUGUAUUUGGGAUUCAUGGUAAAUGACUAGAUGUCAGCUGCUGUUGUCAAAAACAAAAAAUAUGUGGGUAACUGAGAUGAUGGAUAUGUUAAUU
rnacentral:lncRNA from 1 species